UGAUGCUAGGUGAGCUGGCCAGUUAAGUGAAUGCUUUGCCACAGUCUUAGAAAUUGAUUAAGCUGGGCUAAGGUUCACUUAGGCUGGACGCUAUAACCGCAGAGCAAACAUCCCUUACUCAUGCCUGCAAGUGC